UACGAAGGGGGCUAGCGUUGUUCGGAUUCAUUGGGCGUAAAGGGUGCGUAGGUGGCAGGGUAAGUCGGAUGUGAAAUCCCGGGGCUCAACCUCGGAACUGCAUUCGAUACUGCUUUGCUGGAGUACUGGAGAGGAGAUUGGAAUUUACGGUGUAGCAGUGAAAUGCGUAGAUAUCGUAAGGAAGACCAGUGGCGAAGGCGGAUCUCUGGACAGUUACUGACACUGAGGCACGAAGGCCAGGGGAGCAAACGGG
rnacentral:rRNA from 1 species